AGAACGAACGUUGGCGGCGUGGAUGAGGCAUGCAAGUCGCGCGAGCGGCGGACGGGUGAGCAAUACGUACUAAGCUGCCCUCAGACGGGGAUAACCACGGGAAACCGUGGCUAAUACCCGAUGGGAUGCGAUUACGGCCUAUCAGCUAGUUGGUGGGGUAAUGGCCUACCAAGGCGACGACGGGUAGCCGGCCUGAGAGGGUGGUCGGCCACACUGGGACUGAGACACUGCCCAGACUCCUACGGGAGGCUGCAGUCGAGAAUCUUCCGCAAUGGGCGAAAGCCUGACGGAGCGACGCCGCGUGUAGGAUGAAGGCCCUCGGGUUGUAAACUACUGUCACGGGUUAUGACGUAAGCCCGAAAGGAAGCACCGGCUAACUCUGUGCCAGCAGCCGCGGUAAUACAGAGGGUGCAAACGUUGUUCGGAAUUACUGGGCAUAAAGCGCGCGUAGGCGGCGACGUAAGUGUAGGGUGAAAUCCCACGGCUCACCCGUGGAAUUGCCCCGCAUACUGCGUUGCUUGAGUGUGGUAGGGGAGAGCGGAACUCCUGGUGGAGCGGUGAAAUGCGUAGAUAUCAGGAGGAACACCGGUGGCGUAGGCGGCUCUCUGGUCCAUAACUGACGCUGAAGUGCGAAAGCUAGGGUAGCGAACGGGAUUAGAUACCCCGGUAGUCCUAGCCGUAAACGAUGGGUACUAACUUGAGCAGGUGAAGCAAAUGUGAUAAGUACCCCGCC
rnacentral:rRNA from 1 species